rnacentral:lncRNA from 13 species
UAACCUUAUAAGCUGCCUUCAUGCUAUAAUCAUGUAUUAGCUACAGGAGUAUUUUGUUAAUUAUUUUGUUCAGAAUUUGCACAUAGAUGGUUAUAUCAUCUGUGAAGAGACAGUUUUAUAUCUUGCCUUUCUGCAUAAGUUUUAUUCUAUUUCUUGUCUUAUUGCAUCAUCUAGGACUUCCAGUACAAUCUUGAAAAGCAGUGGUGAGAAGGGGCACCCACACCUUACUCCUCAUCUUAGGAGGAAAGCAUGGCAAGUCUGGCCUCAUAUAAGUUAAGAAGUGUUCAUUCUGCUUCUAUGUUUUGGAAGAGAUCAUAAAGAGUUGAUAUCAUUUCUUCAUUAAAUGUUUGGUAAAAUUCACAAUAAAACCAUUUGGGCCUGAUGCUAUGUUUUUUUG